rnacentral:sRNA from 2 species
AUGAAGUUGAUGCUGAAAAUUCACCAAAAGGAAUACCAUUAGAAUCAGUGAACCGAAGAAUGCAGCUCGCUCCUUGACUAGGAGUAACUGAUGAAUUUUGGCGCUGUUUCUGAAUGGGUUUCCAUCGCUUUGCCAACGCAUUGACCGGAGGCGACUGGGGAACAUGGAGUGGUGACUUCAGCCAGCCGCGAACUUCAACAGCCCCAUUAGCACGGGGAACUUGGUGAAGGAUUUGACCUCAUACUAACCAAAUUUAGCCACUAGAUAUUUGCCAAAACAAAGCGCAGCGCCAGUGUUUCGUAAAAACACUCUUGAUUUAUUACCUCCCCGAUACACAAGUCUCGACAUCACGCGGGUCUUUGAUCGAAUUGAAUUUUUUUUACUCGGGAUGAAACCGGGGUCCUCAAGGGCUGGUGAAACAAGGCAGAUCAUGGCAUUUUGAGUACUUGCUGCGAUGUAGUGUACGCACCACCUGAGCUUGUAUAUAGUGCUCCGACGGAAUAGUCAAGGUAGAAGUUGGCAGGAAGAAGCCACGCCGGAGCUCCCUGAGGGGAAAAAAUCUUCGGAACGAGUCACACAUACGUUAGCGUCGGGCGUCAACGGGGGAACAGUGCUGGGGGACGCGACUACUUUGGGGCCCUCUUGUGCCUUGUCGAAUCCGUUAGGUUGGAUGCCAAUGUGGAUGGCGUCGGGGGGCUUUGUGGAAUCGGUUCCAGGGUCACAAAAGCUACGGACUCAAACCGCCACGGAAGGCGGAUCGGGAGAGUCCAAUUGGCAAUAAUAAUACUGAAGUACGAGGUUGUGUUCUUCCCGCCAUGAUAUGAGCUGUUUGAUGAAAUAGCCCCAUGAAUAUAAUCCGGAGAGGCGCAAUCGGGGGGGAGGGAUGAGAAUAAUGACAGCGUAGUGUCCAUCGUUGAUCAAAAACGACUAAUCCGUAGAAUGUAAAUCGUUGCAGAUCCAUGUCCUUGCCUUGAUCUCAGAUCC